AAGUCGUAACAAGGUCUCCGUAGGUGAACCUGCGGAGGGAUCAUUACCGAGUGAGGGCUGCCCCCGGGCGCCCGACCUCCCAACCCUUUGUUUCAACCAACACCUCUGUUGCCUCGGGGGUGACCCGGCCCUCGCGGGUCCGGGGCCCCCGGUGGACACAUCAACGCUGCAUCUUUGCGUCGGAGUCUUUGAAGCGAAUUCAAUCAAAACUUUCAACAACGGAUCUCUUGGUUCUG
rnacentral:misc_RNA from 1 species